GACGAACGCUGGCGGCGUGCUUAACACAUGCAAGUCGAACGGAAAGGCCCUGCUUUUGUGGGGUGCUCGAGUGGCGAACGGGUGAGUAACACGUGAGUAACCUGCCCUUGACUUUGGGAUAACUUCAGGAAACUGGGGCUAAUACCGGAUAGGAGCUCCUGCUGCAUGGUGGGGGUUGGAAAGUUUCGGCGGUUGGGGAUGUACUCGCGGCUUAUCAGCUUGUUGGUGGGGUAGUGGCUUACCAAGGCUUUGACGGGUAGCCGGCCUGAGAGGGUGACCGGCGACAUUGGGACUGAGAUACGGCCCAGACUCCUACGGGAGGCAGCAGUGGGAAAUAUGGCAAAAUGGGCGGAAGCCUGAUGCAGCAACGCCGCGUGCGGGAUGACGGCCUUCGGGUUGUAAACCGCUUUCGCCUGUGACGAAGCGGGAGUGACGGUAAUGGGUAAAGAAGCACCGGCUAACUACGUG
rnacentral:rRNA from 1 species